UACGUAGGGGGCUAGCGUUGUCCGGAUUUAUUGGGCGUAAAGAGCGUGUAGGCGGCCAGAUAGGUCCGUUGUGAAAACUCGAGGCUCAACCUCGAGCUGUCGGUGGAAACUGUCUGGCUAGAGUCCGGAAGAGGAGAGUGGGAAUUCCUGGUGUAGCGGUGAAAUGCGCAGAUAUCAGGAAGAACACCUAUGGCGAAGGCAGCUCUCUGGGACGGUACUGACGCUGAGACGCGAAAGCCGUGGGGAGCGAACAGG
rnacentral:rRNA from 1 species